CAGAUGUUCACCAGUUUGUCUGCGGACAUAGACCCUGUGUUUUGAACCAAACAGUGCAAACUUGUUUCUAGUCAUCAUAAGUCCAAUUUUUGUGAGCUUUUGCCCACUCAUAUCUCUUUUUCUUGUUCUGUGGAUGAAGUAGUGUUUUUUUUGCAGAUACACAACCCUUCAGACCAGCCUUUCUCAAACGUCUUUUCACGGUUGUCACAGAUAUUGGUUUCGACCUUGUCAUGUUGAUUUCCUCCCUUCUUUGUGGUGCUGUCUUUCGCUGAUCUCUCUUACUGGUGACAAUGCUAUGUUUAUCCUCUGCUUUUGUACUAACUCUCUUUCAUCCAGGUCUUUUUCCAUCAUCAUAACUUUCAGGUUCCUCUAGUCUCUUCAGAGUGUAGUGGACUCCUUUGUUAAACACCUUUAGGCGUUUUGCAAUUUCUCUUUCUGUGUAUCCUUCUUUCCUCAAUGUACAAAUCUGUACUUUUGUUUCUUUGCUCAGUUGCUUCUUUCUAACCAUUUCUGCAGUAUUUUGAACGCAGUUGGGAUUUAUUAGGAUUUUUG